GACGAACGCUGGCGGCGUGCCUAAUACAUGCAAGUUGAGCGAUGAAGAUUGGUGCUUGCACCAAUUUGAAGAGCAGCGAACGGGUGAGUAACGCGUGGGGAAUCUGCCUUUGAGCGGGGGACAACAUUUGGAAACGAAUGCUAAUACCGCAUAACAACUUUAAACAUAAGUUUUAAGUUUGAAAGAUGCAAUUGCAUCACUCAAAGAUGAUCCCGCGUUGUAUUAGCUAGUUGGUGAGGUAAAGGCUCACCAAGGCGAUGAUACAUAGCCGACCUGAGAGGGUGAUCGGCCACAUUGGGACUGAGACACGGCCCAAACUCCUACGGGAGGCAGCAGUAGGGAAUCUUCGGCAAAGGACGAAAGCCUGACCGAGCAACGCCGCGUGAGUGAAGAAGGUUUUCGGAUCGUAAAACUCUGUUGGUAGAGAAGAACGUGGGUGAGAGUGGAAAGCUCAUCAAGUGACGGUAACUACCCAGAAAGGGACGGCUAACUACGU
rnacentral:rRNA from 1 species